GAAUAGAGAAGCCACAAGAAUAAUAGCCUCCCAAGAUCACUGGGAAAUUCUUACAGAUCCAACCAGAAAUAAUCAAAGAACCAAUUUUGGGAUUUCUAUAAAUCUGGUCCAACAACAAUAAUGACUACAUAUAUUGAUUGAUUUCCAAGAAAAUAAGGUAGGUGAGAUUGUGAGAAUUA